ACUCACUUUCAUCUUACAAAACACUAUUAAUCAAAACAGUAUAAAACUAAACCAAUCUCAAAUAAAAAAUUAUACAGUACUAUAAAGGAAAUAAAAUUUUUAACUUAAAGUAGUGACACUUCACGUACCUUGUGCAUUAUGGUUUUACAAGCUAAUAAUUUAAAAUAUAUUCCCGAAUUCUACGCGAGCUGUUCAUUUAUAGCUAUAGAGCCCACUACUAGUUGUAGCACCAACUUUAGAAAAUAUUUGAACAGAGGCUACAUACCACGCGCGCUAGAACAUUGCUGGUUUUCAGUUAAAUUUAUAAAUUAAUACAUAUAAUUAUAUUAUAGUGUAAGAUCUCAGAGGAUAAGCCCUGUGAUCCUAAGCUAAUAACCAUACAUAAACCCCCAUAGGCUUAAAACCAGCCAUUAAUAGUACUUUACCGUACAAUAUUUCCAAUAAACAGAAUCCUGUGCCCCCUAAAGCUGAAAUUUAAGACAAACCUAAGAUCUUAAAAUAUUAUGUAAAAAUAAGUAUUAGAAAAAAAAAUAACCUUAAGCUUCCACGAAUUCUCAAUAUUAUAUACACAUUAACACUUAUAAAGGAAACUCGGCAAAUAUUAUUUU
rnacentral:rRNA from 1 species